rnacentral:lncRNA from 1 species
ACAAGGAGCUGGAUGGUCUCAAAAGGACAAAGAGCUUAUGCAUCUACUUCUGAGAACCCUAGAGUCUCAGGCCUACUGAAGCAGAAAGCAGAAUGAAACACCUAGACUGGAGAGGGACGGACAGUGAGUAAGUAGCUCAUGGGGUUACAGUUUUAUUUCAGUAAGAUUGGAAAGUUCUGAAGGUGGAUGGGUGGACUUGGCUUGAUUGCAAAAGUCUAUAUGAUAUGUCUUUGGGAGCUGGUGGCUAGGGAUGUGACUCAGUUGGUAGAAUGAUACCUGGCAUGCAUCCCCUGCGUUCCACCCCUACCAUGGCUACCCAGUCACUGAUAGUACACACCUGUAAUCCUAGCACAAAGGAAAUGUCUGUAGGAGGCUCAAAACCUCAAGGUCAUCCUCAGCUGAGGUCCAGACCAGCCUGGGCUAUGUGAAACCCUGAUCAAACACAAACAACAAAAAUGAAACAAAAACCAAGAAACCUAGCCUACUCAGCAUGCUCCAGAGAUCAUAUCUCAACAAAACAAGGUGGAGGAACUCAGUGGUUAAAAAUGCUUACUGUUAGUGCUAGAGAGUUGCUUCAGUAGUUAUUGUUAUGAAGUGAAUG